rnacentral:rRNA from 1 species
UACGUAGGGGGCAAGCGUUGUCCGGAAUUAUUGGGCGUAAAGAGCGUGUAGGCGGCCCGGUAAGUCCGCUGUGAAAGUCCAGGGCUCAACCCUGGGAUGCCGGUGGAUACUGUCGGGCUCGAGUCCGGAAGAGGAGUGUGGAAUUCCUGGUGUAGCGGUGAAAUGCGCAGAUAUCGGGAAGAACACCCGUGGCGAAGGCGGCUCGCUGGGACGGUACUGACGCUAAGGCGCGAAAGCGUGGGGAGCGAACAGG